AUUGAACGCUGGCGGCAUGCCUAACACAUGCAAGUCGAACGAGUGGCGGACGGGUGAGUAAUUUUUGGGAAUCUGCCUGAUGGAUGGGGAUAAUGACUGGAAACGGUAGCUAAUACCGCAUACUAUCAGAUGUGCCCAGAUGGGAUUAGCUUGUUGGUGGGGUAACGGCUAACCAAGGCGACGAUCCCUAGCUGGUCUGAGAGGAUGACCAGCCACACUGGAACUGAGACACGGUCCAGACUCCUACGGGAGGCAGCAGUGGGGAAUAGUGCACAAUGGGCGCAAGCCUGAUGCAGCCAUGACGCGUGUAUGAAGGAGGCCUUCGGGUUGUAAAGUACUUUCAGCGGGGAGGCGUUACCCGCAGAAGAAGAACCGGCUAACUCCGUGCCAGCAGCCGCGGUAAUAC
rnacentral:rRNA from 1 species